UGGGGAAUUUUGGACAAUGGGGGCAACCCUGAUCCAGCCAUCCCGCGUGUGCGAUGAAGGCCUUCGGGUUGUAAAGCACUUUUGGCAGGGAAGAAACAGCCUGGGCUAAUAUCCCGGGCGACUGACGGUACCUGCAGAAUAAGCACCGGCUAACUACGUGCCAGCAGCCGCGGUAAUACGUAGGGUGCAAGCGUUAAUCGGAUUCACUGGGCUUAAAGGGUGCGUAGGUGGGUAUGUAAGUCGGUGGUGAAAUCCCCGAGCUUAACUUGGGAACUGCCAUUGAUACUAUUUGUCUUGAAUACCGUAGAGGUAAGCGGAAUAUGUCAUGUAGCGGUGAAAUGCUUAGAUAUGACAUGGAACACCAAUUGCGAAGGCAGCUUACUAUGCGGUGAUUGACACUGAGGCACGAAAGCGUGGGUAGCAAACA
rnacentral:rRNA from 1 species